rnacentral:lncRNA from 1 species
GAACUUGGAGGGAGAAGAUAUCGAAAGAUAAGCUUGAUCUACUACCUAGUGUUGCGAAAAUUAUACUAGUGCCGGUGUCGGUGAUGCUGUGACCAUCACCGUCCGGCGAUGCUACUGGGAAAUUGGUAUUAAUGAAGAAGAAGAUUAUUAAGUGAAUCAGUGUAUUUGAGAGUUCCAUUUUUUCCGUUUCUGUUGCGGUUUAGUCUACUAGUGGCUCACUCAGUAGUGAUAUAUGAUUGACACUGAGAAAUUAUUUUUGGUGAUGUCUAUUCUUUGAUGAGGGUUGCGUAAGAGAUGAUGUUUGGGAAGGGAAUCAAUUAGAUUGUG